rnacentral:rRNA from 1 species
AUGCAAAUGUUUGAUUUCUCCAACAACAACCUAUCUGGUACAAUUCCAGAGUUCCUCGAGACCUUCACCUUGUUGCAGUAUCUGAAUAUGUCCUUCAACAACUUGGAAGGAUCAGUCCCCAUAGGUGGAGUGUUUGCUAACACAAGUGGUAUUUUUGUCCAAGGAAAUCCACACCUUUGUUCAAAUGGUGCAUUAAGAGAGCUUCCUAGAUGCUUUGCUUCAGCAUCCACAAAAAAGCAAAAGUAUUUUGUUCCUAUGAUGAUAGCUCUGUUAGCUCUUGUUGCACUUGCCUUAAUCUUGGGGGUGUUCAAUUUUUGGUUGAGAAGGAGAUACACAUCCGGUGAGAGAAUUGGCCAUUCAUACAUGGAGUUGAAAAGGAUAACAUACGGUGACGUAAUCAAAGCAACAAAUAGUCUUUCUCUAGCCAAUGUGGUCGGCUCCGGGCAAUUUGGGACUGUCUACAAAGGUUGGUUCGACGCGGAAGAUGGUACGGUUGCUGUUAAAGUCUUCAAGCUCAAUCAGCAUGGCGCAUUGCAUAGCUUCAUUGCUGAGUGCAAAGCUUUGCAACACAUCCGCCAUCGGAAUCUCAUGAAGGUGAUAACCGCAUGCUCAACUUAUGACCUAGUGGGAAAUGAGUUCAGGGCUCUAGUCUUUGAGUAUAUGGCCAAGGGGAGCCUUGAAGACCGACUUCACAACCACCAGUGUGGUGGUUUGAGUUUAGGCGCAGUGAUCUGCAUAUCAGUUGACAUUGCUUGUGCUCUUGAAUACCUACAUAACCAGUGCAUCCCACCGGUUGUUCACUGCGACCUAAAACCAAGCAACAUACUUUUCGACAAUGAUGAUACUGCACGUGUCUGCGACUUUGGUCUGGCAAAGCUAAUUCAUGGGUGUUCAUCUGGAGGGCAGAGCGACACAACAAGCAUAGUUGGACCAAGGGGAUCUAUUGGGUACAUACCUCCUGAGUAUGGCAUGGGCAGUGAAAUCUCAACCGAGGGUGACGUCUACAGCUAUGGCAUUGUUCUUUUGGAAUGCUUACACGGAAACGGCCUACCAAUGAAGAGUUUAGUGAUGGCUUGA